rnacentral:rRNA from 1 species
CGGAUGAACGCUGGCGGCGUGCUUAACACAUGCAAGUCGAACGGAGAAACGGUAGCUUGCUAUCUUUUUUAGUGGCGGACGGGUGAGUAACGCGUGGGUAACCUGCCCUUUGCAGGGGGAUAACAGUGAGAAAUCGCUGCUAAUACCGCAUACCAACUUCUUUCGCAUGAAGGAAGUUUGAAAGAUUUAUCGGCAAAGGAUGGACCCGCGUUGGAUUAGCUAGUUGGUGAGAUAACAGCCCACCAAGGCAACGAUCCAUAGCCGGCCUGAGAGGGUGAACGGCCACACUGGGACUGAGACACGGCCCAGACUCCUACGGGAGGCAGCAGUGGGGAAUAUUGCACAAUGGGCGAAAGCCUGAUGCAGCGACGCCGCGUGAAGGAUGAAGGUCUUCGGAUUGUAAACUUCUAUCAGCAGGGAAGAAAGGGCCUAUGGCCUAUGACGGUACCUGACUAAGAAGCCCCGGCUAACUACGUG